AACGCACAUUGCGCCCUUUGGCAUUCCGAAGGGCAUGCCCGUUCGAGCGUCAUUAAGACCAAUCAAGCCUGGCUUGGUGUUGGGCGACGGGUGACGAACCCGCGCCUCCAUUCCCUCGGCUGGACGGUUAGAAUCUCAGCGUUGUGCAAAUCAAUUCGCUCGAGAGGACGAGCCGCCCGCGCCGUUAAAACUCUUCAAAGGUUGACCUCGGAUCGGGUAGGGAUACCCGCUGAACUUAA
rnacentral:misc_RNA from 1 species